rnacentral:rRNA from 1 species
GACGAACGCUGGCGGCGUGGAUUAGGCAUGCAAGUCGAACGAUAUCAUCCUUUCGGGGGUGAGAGAGUGGCGAACUGGUGAGUAACACGUAGGUUAUCUACCCUCAAGACGGGGACAACCCAGGGAAACUUGGGCUAAUACCGGAUGUGAGCAACUUUUAGUUGUUUGAAAGGUGGCGUAAGCUGUCGCUUGGGGAUGAGCCUGCGUCCUAUUAGUUAGUUGGUGAGGUAACGGCUCACCUAGGCAAUGAUAGGUAGGCGGCCUUAACGGGUGGUCGCCCACACUGGGAUUGAGAUACGGCCCAGACUCCUACGGGAGGCAGCAGUCGAGAAUAGUCUACAAUGGUCGGAAGACUGAUAGUGCGACGCCGCGUGAACGAUGAAUCCCUUCGGGGUGUAAAGUUCUUUUAUAUGUGAGCAGUGCUUCUUAUAUUAACAGUAUGGGGAGAGAGAUAUUAGCAUAUGAAUAAGCAACGGCUAACUCCGUGCCAGCAGCCGCGGUAAACUCG